GAACUCCAGGUGGACGCCGGGAGCUAUGAGGUGCACCAACCACGGUGGAUGUGACUUACCCACAGCAUGGCACGCGGCCCACGAGGCUCAGGCCAGAUCCCUGUCCUACCCCAUGAGAUCUACUCCAGAAGUAAAUCUACCUGUUCGUCAACUACAAAUUGCAUCUUCUAGCAUAUACACAAUUCACCCCACCUUCAGCCAACGUGGAACCGUGUCUUGCACAUCUACUUUCCUCCCAUAAAUGACGCUUUGCCCGUGAGAUCCCCUGGCUCUGCACCUCAGGUGAGUUAUUCUGAAUCACUGGAUUCUCCUUCCAAACAAUGGGCCUAACUUACAGGGCUUUUUUUAAAAAGAUUAAAUGAGAAAAUACUAUAUGGUUCACAGUUUUUCUACCCCACCAUUUCCCUUUAGGGGCAUAAACCAUAAAGCUUGAAAGUCAGACAGAUCUGGGUCAAAAUCCAGGUGCUGUAAUUGACCAAACUCUGGGAUCUCAGGUUCUACUUCUCUUGGCUUUACUUUCAGCAUCAGAAAAAUGGGGUUGAUCUCCUCUUCAGGGGAUGGAGCAGGCAUUGAAUGGCCACAUAUAGGCCCUCUGGACCCAGAGUUUCUGAAUCAGAGGAUUCAACCAACCUCAGACGGAAAAAUUUGUGUCACAACUGAACGUAUGCAGGAUGUUUGUUUUUGAGACAGGUCUCGCUAUGUUGUCCAGGCUGGCCUUGAACUCAAGGCCUGGCCUCCAGCGAUCCUCCCGCCUUAGCUUCCCAAAGACCUGGGACCACACCUGGCUACAGCACAGAAGAUUGUUCCUUGCCAUUAUUUCUUUGCCUACACAAUACAGUAUAACCACUCCGUACAAAGCAUUCACAACGUAUUCGGUAGUAUAUCUCGUAAUGAUUGAGGAUGUCUGUAGGUCAUGUGCAAAUUAUAUUAAGCAAUUUAUAGUAAGGACUUGAAACACUGAUUUUGGCCUUGGAGAGCGUCCUGGAACCAAUCCCUUGAAGGGCAAAAUAGCAGGGGUCACUGUCGUUGGUGCUGGACUCCUUGAGUUGCUGGCCACAGGAUCUUUGGGAAUUGGGACCCUAUCUCUGGAAAGCUCCCAGGUGUGGCCUGCCCAGCCCUGAAUGAGCCCUGGACUUGAAGCCAUCGAUUCUUCCCCUUCCUCUGGAGCUGUCAGGACCCAGCUCCAAAGGGCAGCAGCUCCCAGGAGCUGACAGGACGGCAGAGCUCGCUUGAAGGUCCAGGAGAGGAGUUUAAGAAGGGAAGGAGAGGCUGCCACCCGUGGGCCCGGAUCACAUGCCUCUGCCAUGCACAGGUAAGGGCGAGCCACUAUAGAAGGCAGAGUUUUCUUUUAAAUUACACUAAUGGCUAAUGUUUAUAGAGAUGUGCUAGGCCUGGUGCUGAGAACCACAACUCUUCAUUUGAUCUGACGUCCCCAGACUUCCUCACCUGAUAGAUGGCAAAACUGAGAUUCAAAGAGGUGAAAUGACUGUCCCAAGGCCACAGAGUGCAGCAGAGGGGCUGCCAUUUGAACCACCUGGCUCUAGAGCUCCCUUGUUGCCCCACUCCUGGAGUCUCCAGAAGAACUUCAGAAUUCUGGAGCUCAGGACUGGUUCCAGACACAGCCAGGGCACCCAAGGGCCUGAGGAGUCACAGUCCGAUUCCAAGACACAUGGAGGUUGAGAGGCAUCCUCCAGGUGCCCAGCCACCCCAGGGCCACCUGGUGCCUGUCCUCUCCUGGGGACUCACCACUCCAGCAACUCCUACUCUUUCUCCUCCACCAGCCACGCGGGGCGUGGGGCAGAGAGAACCAGGAUUUUAUCAAGACAAAGAACAAAAGUCGUGGGGGAAAGAAGCCAAGAGCCAUCUCCCCUGUGGGGUAGGGCCCUUCAGUUUUGCCCCUUUGAAAUUUCAAAUUCCAGUUUGUGGACAAAGUCCUAACUAUCUCACAAUAUAGGUUCCCAACUGCUGACCAAACUCCAGUCUAGCCGCCACCUGGCCCCAGGCUGGCCCAGUCUGGCUGCUUCCCGACAGCUCCCAAGAUCUGGGGUAGGAGGCCAAGGGCAGCUGGGGACCGCCAAGGACCCCCACCUCCCACCUGAGAGGACAGCUUCCUGCCCAGAGUUGGGAUCUGAUGCUUCCUGGUCUCAACAGCAGAUGCCAGGUAGGCGCCCUGGCGGUCUGGGCCUCUGGGCUCCUCCUGGAGCCCCCAACGGACCACCUGCUCACACUGCCAUGGCUUAAUCCCCAAGGGACCCCACAGCACUGGACAGGCUGUGUCCCUGACCCACUCCUUUGGCACAUGGAGACACUGAGGCUGUCGGCAAAUGGAAGCUGCUGCAGUUUGAAGAGUGGAGCUGGCCAGAGACCAGGGGCCCCUCCCUGAGCCCCAAAGGCUGGAAGGGACUUGGGAAUUGCUCCAGGCCACUCAGUGGUGGCAGGUAAGCUUGGACUGAACAAGGAGGUCAGUCCCCUUCGCUUCCUCUCCUACAGACCGUGGAUGGCCCUGUGUGUUUGUCCACUCAGUGACUGAUGGCCACCAGGUUGCCCCAGGAGCAUUUCCGAGAGGAAGACGAGGGAGCUGGGGCUGAAGGCCAGUGGGAUUGGAAGGAAACACUAUUCACAUGGUUAACUGAUAACUGGGCCCCAUCCCCGGGCCUCCACAGGCCUCUUUCCUCCCUCCCUCUCCUCAGCAUGAUUAAGAUGAACUUACCUGCCUGCUAAUCAUUGCUGAGACUGUUGAUUUUGCCUUAAAAAAUUAACUGGGCAUGAGUUUGCGGUUUGCCUCACCCCUAACCCUGAAAAGGCCUGGGUGGGCAGGAGGCCUCCUGGGUUAUGCAAGAGGCCGCUGGCCUCCCCACGCGCAUCCCGUGGCCUCCUCUGCCGUUCUCCAAAGGGGAGUUUUGCUCAAGAGUCAACAGUCUGCCUGUCCCCCUGCCGGGUCCUGAGCAAAUUUGCUCUGUUACCAAAGAGAGAUAAAAACACUGUGGAAUGGGGGUGGGGGGAACUUUCCAAAUGGGGAUGUGAAGCAGUGGCUUUGAGCUUGGGUUUCUAGAAUCCUGCAGCAUCAGAGCCAAGAGAACCUUUCGGAGGAUGUGGGCUGGGGCUUUUUAUUUUUAUUUGACUUUUCAAAGCAGCUUCUGGUGUUCCCAGGAGCCCACAGAUUGAUGCUCUCUUAGGUGUGAUCUUUCUUAAUGUUUCCAUUGAGAGAAGGGAGACCACAGGUGCAGCCUCAGCCCCUCAGUGUGCAGAUGGGAAAAGAGGCCAGGGGAGGGGUGGGUGCCUCAGACAAGAACACAGGCCACCCAGGUAUCCUGGGUCUCCAGCCGAGACAGGGAUAACAGGUACUCUCUGGACCUGAAUGACAUGUUGAAGGACAUCAGGGAACAAGGUGGCUGCAUGCACAUCUUCCCCUGCCAUCCCCCUCUUCUUGGAGGGCAGAAGUAAGCAGAGAGGUGUCCUGAGAGUCCUGGAAGAUCCCACGGCAGGGGACUUCACCUGUAGUGUGUUCUGUGGUCCUCUGAGGAGCAGGACCAGCAGCAUGAGCUGCAAACCAGACUCUGUCACAGCCCCUCUUGGCCAACCCUGCCCUGACUCUCGGUCCCUCCGAACCUCAGUUUCUCUCCCUGUAAAUUGGGAACAAUACCUACCUAACUCCUAGGGUUGUCAGGAGGGUGAACGGAGUAAAAAGCAUUCAUUGAUAAUGAGGGCCAAUGUGCAUGCAGCUGUUUCGGGGGGGCUAUCCAUCCGUGUUAGCUCAUGAAUUCUUACACCACCCUAACACAGACAGUGUUUUUAUCACCAUUUUGUGGAGCAUGGGCACAGAAUGAUUGAGUCAUGCGCUCAAGCCCACUCAGCUGAUAAGAAAUAAGUUAGGAUUCAAGUCCAAACUGAUUGCAGAAUCUGUGCUCCUAACCCUAAAGCACCCUGCCUUUCCAGGAAUGUACGUAGUAAGGGCUCAAGGAAAGCUGGUCAGUAGAGGGGCAUGGAAGUCCCUCUGGUCAGAGAUCAGGGCAUUGCAGGAGCUGCUGAGUUUGAGGUAGAGAGGAUGGCCAGAGGCUGAGCCAUCAGGAGGAAAGCCAGGACCCAGUCUGUGUGGGCGGAGCCGCCCUGUGGGUUGCCUGCCUGCUGCCAGGGGGGCGUUCCUGUUCUCCUGUUUAUGUUCAUCUCUUCUGUUUAUGUUCCUGACUUUAUCUGCAGGGGUGACCUUGGGGAAUUAGAUGGGGCCUAGCCUGCCCUCAUGGGGCCUGAAGGGUGAUGGGAAGUUCCUGCUCAGUCCAGGCCCUCGACUCAGGGAUAAAAGUCGCCCUUAGCCUCUCUGGAUCCCUCCUGAGGGGCUUCAGGGAUUUGUCUGGAGGUCACUGCGGUGAAAGAUUUGCAAGUCCUGAGACUUAGGCCAGGAUCACUGUGUACAGUUGUACAAGCUGCUCCCCACACGCAUGUUCUCUAGCCAAGAUGGUUGAGUGGGGGUAGAAAUCCAGCCCUUGCUCCAAAGCCCAUGAACUUUGCCUGCCUGGAGGGGGAUGUCUUUUUCUUAUUUGCACAAAGAAUCCAUGUAAGCUACUAGGAGCUCUGCCCCAGCUCUGUUUCCAGCCACUGUGUGACCUCGGACAAAGCCCAUCCCUUCCUGGCCUUGGAUUCCUGUUUGGGAAGUUGUGUCUAGCAUAAAGCAGAGAUUCAAUCUAGAUAGUGAAACAGAAUCACCUGGGAUCUUAAAAAAAUAUAUAGAUGCUCAGCUGCUCGGGUAGCUCAGUGGUAGAGCAGAGAGCAAGUUGUUCCAUUCUCAGCCCUAAAGCAAAACACUGAGGCCCAGGCUGGGUGAUACGCCAGUGAUCAAAUCUUAGGGUAGCAGUGAGUAGUGCUCGGCUUCAGUAGUUUUUGAAAUCCCUGGAUGAUUCUGAUCAUCCAGGAUGAUUCAGGCCCAUCACAGAAGGCUUGACAUUUUGAAGUGGAAAGACCUUGACACAGGUCUGAGUUUUCCAACUAAGUGCAGCUUACUAUUCAGAACUUCAGGGAGGAUUGGUUUCCCCAUCUGUAAAAUGGACCCACAACUCCCUCACAAUGUCAGAAUGCUGAGUCAGCGGAUGACAUCCUGAGAUGGUCCCUGAUUCUUGGUGCCAAUGGCUGUUAUUGUUACUGUCAAUAAAAUAUUGGUAUCAAGUAAAAGGCCCUUCCAGGCCAAGCGUUCAGGGACAUGGAGCCAGGCUUUCUCUGUUCCUUGGAUGCCCAUCUUCUCUGCCCACCUGUCCUAUUAUUGAAGUUGUGUGGUGAUGAUGAUGAUGAUGAUCUGAUUUGUUAGACAUUGCACAUUUAUUUCUGAAUCAUUAACGACCUUCACAUGGCUCAGAAUCAGAUGUGAAAAAGGUACCCUGUUGAGAAGCCCGGUCCGCUCUGCCUGCUGCUGCCUGAGCUCUCCACCUCUUUACCACCCUUCCUCAUUUUCCUACUUUCUCAUGGAUCUUUCUUGAAAGUCUUUCACGGAAGUACAAGAAUCUAUAAGAUCACAGGUCGUCAGCCCUGCCUCCCACACUGUCCUGCCUCCUGCCUGUUUCCUUGACCAUUAUGGCCUGCAGAUUUUCCCAUAGCAGUUGAGAGCCAGCUUUGGGAGAAAACAGGCUCUGGGAGGGAGCGUUGUUUUCCCAGGAAGCCAAGUCAGUCAUGUUUGAACUCUCUCUCCUUGGCUCCAGAGCCCAUGUCUGUCCCCUGAACUGAAGUGGCCUUCCAGGAACCCAGGCCUCAGGAGUUUGGGAGCCAGGCAUAAACUGGUGCAGCACAGACCUGGCCUUCCCGGGCAUAAGGGAAGGUGGGGUUGGGUGGGCUGUUAGGGCCUCUCCUGUUUCUGGGCCCUGAAGACCCAAAGACAGGCUAAAGUAUGGAAUAAGUCAUCCAAAUAGGGACCCAGUGAGGGGUGUCCCCUGGAUGGGACGUCAUGGCCUGGUGGCCCUGCCAUCCAGCACUGUAGAACCUGCAAGCUCAGAGUGUGCUGGCAGCAGCAAGGUCCAAAGGAGGAGGGGCAGGGAGGAAGGGAAGCCUAGCCAAUGGGACGGCCAAUGCAGAGCCCUGGGGGACCCAUUCCUGGAGGGCAGGAUUUGGAAUUCAAGACAGAAGUGGUGAGGACAGCUUAGCCCACAUUUUCUGUGCAGGCGAAUUCAGGGUCCCCCUGGAUCCUUGACCUGCUCAGAGCACUGACUGAGCAAGUCAAGCUCGCUCUCUGCGCCUCAGCUGCAAAAUGAAGAUUAGACAGCUGGUCUUUGGGCAGCCUUGAAGCACCCCUAAAGGCAUCUUUGGGGGCUCCCUCUCCUUGUUGAGGGAAUCUGAAUCCUGUUUUGACCAGAAUAUCAUUCACCUAUCAGGGCCCUUGGCCUUCCUGGAUGGGGGCUGGGGAUAAAAGUCUCCACACUGCUUCAAAGUCCAGCCUCCUCCCCCCAGUUCUGUGUCUCCCUCCUGCCACCCCAUAUUCCUUCCAGGCAAAUGCAGAGGCAGGACCAUACCUGGUGGGUCCUGGGGGAAGCCCUGGCCCCCGUCCGACAUCCUCCUCCCGGUGCUAUGGGGUCCCGCACAGUGGGCAACCUCUUCAUCCCUGAGUCAACCCCUGCUGCCACCCUGGCACCCUAGACCCUGUGGGGACUGCUGGGCAGAGUUAAUCCCUUAAUACUGGUCACAAUGAGAUUUCAGGGAUGGUGGGAGGCGGUCUCCAUGGAGACCGAAGACCUGUCCAGGACCCACGCAAGGAAUUAGCCCCAGGCCUCUGCAAGGGGCCCCUAGAGACCCAACCCAAACAGUGGGAGACGCCGGGCCUGCAGGCCUGGGUCUGGCCUCCUGCUCUCUGUGUUCUUUUGCUGAACAGGUGAGAUGCAUUCAUGGGAGCCUGCGUCACCUUUCUGAGACAGAUUCUUUAUCCUCCAUUUGGGGUUCUGGGCCUCAAUCAACUUUUCUAGAAGAGUGCCACUUUGGGAGUCUGUUAGACCUGAAUUUGAUGCUCAGCUUUUCUGUCUCAGACUGCCUCAGGCCAAGCACUGCGCUUCUCUGAGCCUCAGUUUCCUCAUCUUUAGGAUGGGCACCAUAAUGCCACCCUGGUGUCACUCUUGGGUCUGUGUGGUGGGUAGUGACACUCAGUGAAUGUAAGUGUCUUCACCUCUUUCUGCUGCCCUUCCCCAAUCACCUGAAGACCCCACGCCACACCCUCGUCCCUGGCAGAGAGCUGUCACAUCUCUCUCUGCCACCCUGUCCCUCCUCCAAGUCCCAUCUUGGUCAUUCUCUGGCAAGUCCUGCCAACCAUCCUCCCACAGCCCCAGAGCUUUCCAUCAUCACAGUUUAAUCAGGUGGUGCUUGUCUGCCUCCUCCUCUAGCAGUGUCCCCUUUACCACUGCAUUCCCAGGACCCAGAUUGGCGCUUAAUAUAACCGGUUGGCUGAAUGAAAGAGCGAACAACCAAGGAAUCGUCGGCCCCAGUGUUGAACACUGAUUCAGCACCUGCCCCGUGUGCGAUCCCAGGAGAUGCCACAGCGAAGAUCCUGGGCAAGAGCCCUGCCUCACAGGGCUGCAACCAGCAAGCCAGGUCAAGGCUGCCCAGGCAAACUGCAAGUCCAGAAAAACUUUACUUUAGAAUGCUUUUCUAAAGUAGGUCCCAAAGAAUGAAUGGGGCAUACUCAUACUUUAAAAGUUUGUGGUUUAUCUCAAACCCAAAUGAGAGUCGUGGAUUGUUUCUGGAAGCUCUAUCCCCCCUCCCCUGGCACACAGCUUGGGUCAUGGUGGAAAGGCGGAGUGGGGACCGAAAUCAAGUAAAUAAACAACCAAGUACAUUCAAAUAGUAGUUAAACAAUGACACAGCACGAUGCGACAGCACACCGGGACAGGUAGGGGGCGUCUUUGGAUCUGACAGCAAGAUUUCACCUGCACCACUUUUAAUCCCAGUGUUGCUUAGGAAAAGCCCUUUGAGGAUCUUAAAGGGCACGAGGGAGACUCCGAGGCGGGCAGAGGGUGCCAGCCGGGGAAAGGGGCUGCUGAAUCUCACUCGAUAGACUCCGCGGUCUGCAGCUUGGACCUGGGCCUUCGCAAACCUGCGCGAACCCGCAGACCCACCCCUCGGGUCAGCCAAUGUCCUCGACGGGGCUGGGAGCCAGGGGAAGAGGCCAAAGGAGCUGUGCAGAGAAGCGUGGCCACCUGGCCAGAGCUGGGAGCCUUGACACACUUUCCCCUCCCUGGCCCGCCCCACCCCCGGCGCAGCAGAACCUGCGUGAGCCCCAAGCCGGAGGGCGACCUGGAGGAGGCGACAGCGACGCGCCUCUGCUGCGCUUGGCACUCCCCGGGUUCCCCCUAGUGGCCCCCGCGGGAACUGGCGCUCAGAAUUAGGUAGCUGGUAGCUGUCACAGAGCCUUCACCGACCACAGCGGAGCCGCGCCACAGACCCCACCAAUCACAGGACCAGUCGGUCUACGUCUCUCCAAACCCGCGGAAGCCAGCUCGACACAAUCACCAAUAACAGCUCGUCGCUACUGCACCAAUCAGGAUGCAAGAUGUAAAAACCGGUUCCCCAGCCGCCUCCGCGCUGCCCUUCCAGGGUUCCUGAAACCUCAGUUCCCAGCACCUGCUGCCAGUGCGCAGGCGCCUUGGAGGAAGGUCCCAGGCUUCGUGCUGGCUCCCAGCGGAAGCCCACGUUUGCAUUCAGAGGCAUAUUUAAUGACAUUGCUGUCAUUAAAUGUCACCCCUCCAUUAUGGAAAUUGGAGGGUAUGGGCAGUGGAAAAACUGGACCUUGGAGUCAGACAUACUGAAGCUUUGUGCAGCGGGAGGUUUGCUUCCCUUUCCUCAGCUGUUACGAGAACAAUAGUAAUAUCUACACGAAAUACCGGUCACCCUUCCCCAUCAAUAAUCCAAGGGCAAAUACUAGGAGUCACUAUCUUUGUGUCCCGCCUCACCUGCUAUCUCUCCCUUCAUCAGAAAACCCAGUUCUUCCACCUCCAACAGUAUCUAGAGUUUUCAUCAUCUUUCCAUCUCCAACUGAACCAGCGGUGGCAGAAACGCCCAUCAUCUCUGGACAUCUGUUUUCCACUCGGGCUCCCCUACCACCCACUCCUCAGCCUGGGACAGGGGUGAUCUUGUACAAGCCUACAUUGGAUCAGAUCCUCCUCUACUUACACUUUUACAACUUCCUUUGCAUUUAUAAUAAAGCUCAUAAAACCCCUGCCAGAGACUAAGGCAGGACACAACCUCCUUUUUAACCUCUCUACCUCUCCAACCUUAUUCCAUCCCACUCCUGCACCCCCUCCUUUUUUUCCCUUCCUGUCUCAGGGUCUUUGCACAUUCUUUGUCCUCUGCCUGGAAUAUGAUUCCUGGGUCCUUUGCAUGCCUGUUGGGUGAAAAAAUAUCCUUCAGAUGUGGACUUAAUUUUUAUUGUAUCUGGGAGGAAUUUCCUAUAUGUUUAUGCAGAGUCUCUGCAUCCUUCACCUCUUUAUUCUCUAUCUCUGUACUUAUUAUUUCCCCUUAGCACUUUAUAUUGAUUUGAAAUGGCACAAAUGUUUGGUUACUUGUGUGUUAACUAUUUCCAGGUCAGGACAGAAUGCCUUUAUUUUAUUUGUGUAUGGUGCUAAGGAUCAAACCCAGGGCCUCACACAUGCUAGGCAAGUGUUCUGCCACUGUGCUUCAGCCCCAGCCCUCUGAAAAAGAUUUUGAAGGAGAGACUACUAAUCAUAUGCUGACGUCCUUGGUGAACAGUAGGCAAUCAACAGAAAGGAGUUCAUGCUUACAGAAGUUCUGGAAGGUGGAGAUUGAAAUCAUAGGUGCUUCUACAUGUAGGAGGGCUCAAGAAGUGAGAAGCACUUGUUUGUCCACCAGAGUUUCCUUGGUGCUGUCAGCUUCAUGCAUGGGUGCAUGGAGGAGCUGUCCUGGGCUUGCAGGCUGCUUGGCAGCAUCUUUGGCCUCAAUUCAUUAGAUGCCAGUAGCACCUUGCCCCUCUCCCCAGAGGUGAACCCCCCACCAAAAAAAAAAAAUUCUCCAGAUAUUUAAAAACAUCCCUUGGGGGUCAAAAUUUCCCUUGAUGGAGAACUAUUGUGCUAGACCUCUUAGAUGUACAAGAAAAUUUUCUUCCAGUAAUUCAGAGCUUCUCAAAUUUCAGUGUCCAAACAAAUCAUCUUGGGGCCAUUACUGAAAAUCCGAAUCCCUGGGGUCCCACCUUCAGGCUCUGGGGUCAGCAGCGGGCCCAGGCAGCAGAUGUUUCGUGAGCUUCCAGACGCUUCUGGUGCAAGAUGUUCUCAGACCCCACUCUAAAAACUCUGCCAAGAAUCCUCCUGAUAACCUGAUAAGCAGGCACCACUGUGGGAGGCCCCGCCCACACGGAUCCUGCCUUUACUUCCUCUCCUUUCCAGCCACCCUUCCCUGGAUGACUUUCCCAAGGAGACACAGAACCUGUCUCAGCCAAGCCCACACUGCCUCAUCUCCCUUCUGAGCAGACAUACAAACUGACCACAGUUCAGUGGAAGCCACCUGUGGAAAGACACUGGGGCACUGGGGAUGGAAACCAGAGUCUCACACAUGCUAAGCGCACACAGUGAGCUAUUCCGAGAGCUAGACCUCCAGUUCUGUGUGUUUGUUCUUAUUUUCAAAAUAGGAGUGACAAUGAGCGUGUGACUGGGAGUGUGAGUGGUAUAGGUGUUGAUCUACAGGAAGGGCUCAGAACUGGCCCUGCACAGUGACUGCUAUGGAGAGCAGGCAGGGUCAAGAGCCAAGUGACUCAGGAAAAGUGUUUGAACUUGAUGGAGAGGAACAAGAAACCCUCCGCAGUGGUCAAAAAUAAACCACCAGACAGUGUGGCAGGCAGAGCUGCCCUAGCAGCAGGUAAGAGGCUACACCUGGAAACCACUGCCCAAACCUAGACUCAGGUGUCAGUGACAAGGACAUAGUGCUCGGGUCUCCAGAGCUGAGGCCCCCUGCAUUCUACCCAGAAAGGACCAGAAAGGGACAGCUGCACCUGGUUCUGAUUUUAUAAUUAGACACAUAAAAUUUUCCUAGGAUGGGGCAAGGUGGGGAAACAAUCAGAGAGCUAAAGGCCAUCUGGCCUGGAUCCUGGGAAAGAGGAGAGACACAGUGUAGCACAGAGGGUAAGGCAUUGCCAUUAAAAUAUAGCAAUGGCACCAUUUGCAUAGCUGUUGGACCUGAUUAAAAUUAGAAGUUCUUGUCAAGCGCAUUGCCCCAGGCCUGUAAUCCCAGCAGCUCAGGAGGCUGAGGGCAGGAAGAUCAGGAGUUCAAAGGAAGCCUCAGCAACUUAGUGAGGCCCUGAGCAAUUUAGCGAAAUCGUGUGUCAAAAUAAAAUAUAAGCAGGGCAAGGUGGCACAGGGCAAGGUGGCUCAGGCCUGUAAUCCCGGUGGCUUGGGAGGAUGAGGCAGGAGGAUCACGAGUUCAAAGCCAGCCUCAGCAACCGCAAAGUGGAGCAGGAGGAUCACGAGUUCAAAGGCAGCCUCAGCAACCGCAAGCAACUCAGUGAGACCCUGUCUCUAAAUAAGAUACAAACACAGGGCUGGGGAUGUGGCUCAGUGGUUGAAUGCUACUGAGUUCAAUACCCACUACCCACCUCCCCCAAAUUAAUUUCAACUGUUUUUUGGUUCUUUUAAAAUGAAACUUCAUUUUGGUGUACUGUAGAUUCACUCACUUUUAAAAAUUGUUUAAGGGGCUGGAGUUGUGGCUCAGUGGUCUGGCGCUCGCCUAGCACAUGCAAGGCCCUGGGUUUGAUCCUUAGCACCAGAUAAAAAUAAAUUAAAAAAAAAAAAAGAUAUUUUGGGCUGGGGAUGUGGCUCAAGCGGUAGCACGCUCGCCUGGCAUGCAUGCGGCCCGGGUUCGAUCCUCAGCACCACAUACAAACAAAGAUGUUGUGUCUGCCGAAAACUGAAAAAUAAAUAUUAAAAAUUAAAAAAAAAAAAGAAGUUCAAACUUGAGCUCAGUUUAAAAAAAAUUGUUUAAAUAUUGUUGCUGCAGGGGCUGGGGAUGUGGCUCAAGUGGUAGCGCGCUCGCCUGGCAUGCGUGCGGCCCGGGUUCGAUCCUCAGCACCACAUACAAAGAUGUUGUGUCCGCCGAAAACUAAAAAAUAAAUAUUUAAAAAAAAAAUUCUCUCUUUAAAAAAAAAUAAAUAAAUAUUGUUGCUGGAAAUAGAUAAAUAGAGCAGUGGGGAGAGCCCAGAAGGUCUAUACAUAUUGGAAAACGGAAGACAGAAGUGGUGGUAGGUACUGCAUACCAGGCAAUUAAGAUGCCCUAUUCAGUAAAGGGUAUAGGACCAAGUGGCUUUUCAAAUAACAAAAAAAUGUCCUCUGCUCUGGUUUGGAUGUGUCCUUCAGGAGUUCAUGUGUAGCAAUGCACAGGCUGAGGGCAUGUAGAUGUGAGGCCUUUAGGAUUAAAUGAGCUCAUGCAGGUGGGUGUUCAUGGCUUUCUGAGGGCAAGAGAGGCUCCCACAAGCAUACUUGCUCUGCCCCUCCAUGUGGUGACACAGCCAGGAGGCCCCCACCAGAUACUGAAAAGAUGCUGGUACCAUGCCCAAUUUCCCAGCCUACAGCACUCUGAGCCAACUAAACUUCUGUGCUUUAUAAAUUACUCAGUCUUGGGUAUUUUGUUAUAGCAACAGAAAAUUGAAUAAGCUAAUAUUCUCAUUUCGUACCACACACAAAACCCAAUCCCUGUGGAAUAAAGACCUAACUAUGAAAAUGAAAGUUUUCAUGCCUAUAGAAAAUAUUUAGGGUAAUAUCUUCUUUCUCUCAAGGCACUGGAAUAGUGAAUGGACAAGAUAUACAAAAAGCACAAACCAUACAGGAAAAUACUAUAUUUAAUGACUUUAUAAAUCAGCUAAAAUAUAACUACAUUAAAACUCUAAGCAUCUAGCCAGGCUCAGUGCUACACGCCUGUAAUAUCAGUCACUCAGGAGGCUGAGGCAGGAGGAUUGCAGGUUUGAGGCCAACCUCAUCUAUUUAGAAAGACCCUUUCUCAAAAUAAUAAAUAAAAAAGGACUGGGGGUAUAGCUCAUGAGUUAAGUGCUGCUGGGUUCAGUAUCCAGUAUGGUACAUUAAUAAAUAAGUGAAUAAAUAAAUGGAGUGGAAAGAUUAGCUACAGAUGUUCAAUGGUACUUGCCAUUAAUAUAACUAAAAAAGGAUUAGUAUCAAGAGUGAAUAACUCAGGGCUGGCGCUGUAGCUCAGUGGUAGAGCGCUUGCCUAGCACGUGUGAGGCACUGGGUUCAAUCCUCAGCACCACGUAAAAAUAAAUAAAUAAAAUAAAGGCAUGCUGCCCAUUUACAACUACAAUUUUUUUUUUAAAAAGAGUGAAUAACUCACACACUAUUUUGAGAACAAUGUUAUUUCAGUGAACGGUGUGUCGGCCAUGCUGAAGUUUACCUGUAGUGCGCUAUUUAAAAACAUAUGUAUAAAAGGUCUUUCUUGCCAGGCUGUGGUGCCGCAGGCCUGUAAUCCCAGUGACUCAGGAGGCUGAGGCAGGAGGACCGUGAGCUGGAGGCCAGCAUCAGCAACUUAGUGAGAUCUUAUCUCGUAAUAAAAAAAUAAAAGAACUGGGGAUGUAGCUCAGCAGUAAAGCACUCCUGGGGUUCAAUCCCCAGUAGACAAAAUAAUAGAAGUAAUAACUCCUACAAAUUGAUAAGGCAAAUAAUGUAAUAAGAAAGCAGGAAAAGAUAAAGACAAUCUCAGAAGGGGAAGAAACCCCAAGACAGAGAGAACCCCUCCCUCCCUCUCUAGCAAUAGAUGAAAUACAAAUGGAAAAGUGAAGCAUCAUUUUACCUUCGUCAUCUUGCUUUUGAGGAUGUGGAGCAAGGAGAACCCUCAACACUGCUGACAGGUGUGGGGUGGACAGAGGGGUAUGUACCAAGAUCUCAUGGGAAGGAAGAGGCCCGCUGCCUGAGACGCAGAGGCCCCACUACUGUGCAGUGCCGUAGAGAAAAACUCUCAUCCACAGACAGAAGAAUGUUGUUCGUGGCUUUAAGAUGGUGACAAACUGGCUGGGCCUUGUGGCACAUGCCUCCGAGGAGAAUGGCAAGUUCAAAG
rnacentral:lncRNA from 1 species